GAGGAUAUAGCUCAGUGGUAGAGCGCAUGCUUAGCAUGUACAAGGUCCUGAAUUCAAUCUCCAGUAUCGCCA
rnacentral:tRNA from 1 species